rnacentral:sRNA from 1 species
UCCAGCCCAAUAUUUUCCUAAAACAUGGUAUGAAUGUAAAGUUUUGUUCAUAAUAUGAGCUCAGGGGAAUGGAGUUGUGACAAGGGCCAGUUUUGGUCUAGUGAACAAACCAUGUGCCUCAGAACCCAUGUGAAAAGCGCAUUUUCUGCCCGUGGGCGCACCCACAUGUACACACAAUGAAAGAAUGAGAAAUCUACUGACCUGGUCCACAGACACCGGUUCUUGUCCAUCAGUGAAAUAGGAAUGCCGCACAGUGAAAGCCAGGGUGCGAAUGGGCUUUAGAACUAGAAAUACGGGGCUGGGGAUUAUAGCUCAGUGGUAGAGCGCUUACCUAGGAAGCACAAGGCCCUGGGUUCGGUCCCCAGCUCCGAAAAAAAAAAAAAAAAAAAGAACCAAAAGAAAGAACUAGAAAUACAAACUUCUGUUUCCGCUUUGUCUUGUUGGUAACUAGAAAUUGAAGAGCAGAGCCCUCGGAAAGUACAGGCGGGAAGGUUGCUGUGAUUUGACGCCAGACAAGCUUCCCUACCUUGUGAGACUGUUUUCAGUCAGCCAUCCAACAAGAGAUGACUGGUGGUAUGAAUGAGUUCAUGCCAGCAUGGGGGAGGUUCUUACUUCCCUAGUGAUAUCCUGUCAACAAACCCAAGGAAAACAAGUGGACCUAGCCUUUGAUCCCGUCAUCUAAUUUCUGCCCCUACAUUCCAGAGAAACCGUGGCAGAAGCUGGUUCUUCUGCAUUGGUAUCAGUUCUAGUCUCAGUUCAAAUAAAAAGAAGAAAGUCAACUGAGCACCAGCAGCGACUCUCUGCUUCCUGACUGUGGACAUCAUGUGGCCAGCUGAGUCACCUCCUGCCGCCUCUGGGACCACUCAGACUGUAAGCCAAAAUAAGCUCUCUCUCCCCUUCUUGUGUAGUUAGUCAGGUGUUUUAUCAGAACAGUGAAUGUAGGUUGAUGUCCUUAUGCAGGUGAAGGCAGACAAGAUAAAACGAACCCUGUCAUUGGACAAGAAGAAAGGGAGGUGGGAACAGAGGCUUUAGAAGAAGAGGGAGGAGCAAAAAGGGAGAAGCAACACGGAGGCGGACGUAAACGAUCCUCGCCAUGCAUCUCUACAUAGAUACAGCUGGAGAUGAGAUAGAAGACCGAUCGAUCCGUUAGGAUGUUAACCUACUGUCUUCUCAGGUUGCUGGCUCUUUGGAUGACGUUUGAAGAUCACCCACGCUCACUGGCUUCUGUAAUGAUGGUGGCUGGAUGUGAUGGUUUGCAUGUGCUCGGCCAGAGAGUG